UAUCUUUCUUUCUUAUUCCUUCAUUAGAGAACUAUAGGCCUAUAACAACAAUGUAUUCAGGAUUUACGCUAUAUUUCGCGGAAUAUAGUUCCAUCUAUUAAAUAGGUACACCGCACUUAAGAAGGUCACAUUUAACAGAAGCAAAAGUUUGACAGAAUGUCGGAUCACAAGCUUGAAAAAAAAAUUUUCCCUGACUUCCCAUCAUCAUCAGAGGAACAAAGUGGCACUGUGGUAAGUUUU